AGGCCGCCAGGUUGGCACGUGAACGCAAACUGAAGGAGCUGUCUGCCCAGAGGAAACGUGGCAAAGCAGAUGGCUCCAGCAGUGAAACUCAGCAAAAAAA